UUUAACAUUAUCGAAAAGUAGUACACUUCGGAAGCGAUUGAUUCAAAUAAAUUAAUAUAUGGUAAAAUUAUAUGGUAGAAUGUAGAGAACUUUGGAUGUACUAAAUAGAUAAUGUGCAACCACUAGCUCAUUUUGCAGAGUGCAUAGAAAGGUGCGUGUGAGCAAUAAUCACGCAUACAGUGUAGUAUUCGUAAAAGAGCGCGUGUCCGUCGUGUUCCGCGCGACACACACGCGCUCACGAACAAAGAAAAAGCCCUAGCGACCAGCAAUGCGGCAACGGUGAGCGCCUGCGCGCCACGCUAUGUGAGUCAAGGACGACACGUGCGCUUGAAACGACCUACUUAUAUCGCCGUUGCUUCGUGCACGAUCGGUUCGCAGCACGAACUUUCCCGAACGUAGAAAUAGGACGACCAAGUUCCAAUGUUCUGUCGAGCUACCACCCCCUCCUCUUUCCUAUGCGCGCAAGCUUCGUUAAUCGACUAACCGCUAUUCGCAUAGCACCGUUCUUUCGCGUUUAAUCUUUGAAUCGUAAAGAUCGUUUCAGUUUCAUUUUAAUUUUUCUUCAUUUUUUAUUUUAACAUAUCGAUCAUACAUUUCUUCAACUUUUUACAAUUUUACGUGUUCAUGGAUAUUGUGUGAUCAUCGUUUUUUCUAUUCAUUAAAUGCAGCAAGAAGGGUUGGUUGAAAUCUAUCCCUAUGUUCGUAUUCAAGAAAUAUAUACACACUACUACAAUGAUCUUUUGGACCUGUAACAUGGAAUCCAAAAGCGGUGGGUAUGAAGGCUGUCUCGAUUCGUCGGUUUUCUUCUCAUCGACAGCAUAAGUAGCGCGUUUCCGCGCGGCUUGUGGCCAGUUCCUGUUCGACCAUCAUACGAUCGUAGCGAAGCGCGGGCGUGUGGAAUCUUCCAAUAUAUACCACACAAAGAUAUGUCGAUGGUUCUACGUGUGCGCACAGCUCUCGCAAGUAGCAACCAUAUAUACACGUGUGUAUUGUAUACAUACAUAUAUAUAUAUAUAAUAUAUAUAUAUAUAUGUAUAUUCAUGUGUAUGUGGUGUCCUCGCAGAAUAUCGUUUGUGUAAGAUUGAGAGUGGCCUCGUGUGCUUCCUACGUAUGUGUAAUUGUGUGCCUCAUGGAUAGUGAACGCCGCGGGAAUUCGUGGUGUGCAAUCGACCAAUGGCAGGCCAAGUAGCAACGGCUAUGCACCAAUCAGAGAACAGAAAUGCUCGCGAAUGCGCGCCACACUUACCACCGGAUGCCGAUCAUACUUGGUAGUGGGGAUAAACUGAGAGUGCGGCACAGGCUACGCGCUCGAGCGCAUCCUCGUUCGUCGCUGCUCGCCGUCGGAGUCGGUCGUGUUCGGUACUUGAGUCCUCCUCUCCGACAAUUUUCCGAAGUCUGAAGAAAGCUCUCUCGUCGUUUGCCAGAGGCUCGAACGCCAUCGUGGUGAUUACCACGUUCUCCAUCGAACGAUUGUUCCAUCACUUUUACUUCUCAUCGUUCAAUUUGGAUCAAACUGCGGUCUGUGCUACCUUAUCACUCCUGGGGACGUUUAAAAUACACGACCUUAUCGUGAUAAAAAAGAAUUCGUGACGCAUAUCCGUUCGAUUUUUAUUGUGUCGUGGCGUGGUCCGUAAAUUGCGUGCGUGGCGUGGUAUCGAGACCGGACUUAAUUGGAAGCGAGCACCAAAUUCCAAAUAAUUGGCUGUGAAAUCAUACGUACUGCCUUGGAUCAUUCACUGUGCACCAUUUUUUAUCUUUUUAUGAUUUUCCUGUAUAAGUGAUCGCGAUUUCUAAAGAGUAGUUAUUGCGGAAAUGUGCAUUUACAUCUAACAAGCGAUUUUAAUAAAUCGAAUCAUUUGAAAAUUGAAUUAAUCAGUCAGUUUAUCAUUUAAUUUGUAUUGUGUUUCUUUUCGCAUAAUAAAUUACAUUUUUAUUUCCAUAAUUUAUAUUAAAUAUAUAUAUAAUUCAUUGUAAAAAGAACAUUGUUUCAUUCAAUAAUGGCACAUGUCAAUCCAUUUCGCAUAUAAUUUUUUCGAUUUAUCGUGUGCAGUGAACUCCGAUAAAUGCCAGCGCGGCACAUGGAAGUCUAGCAGAUCUUUUUAAAAUCAGUUAUAAUCGUGAAAGCGAAGAGAAAGAAAAAUAUGAAAAUAUGCAGGAAGAUUCUAUUAAUUUGGUGAAUAACGAUCUGACGACUAAAGAUCUACUCUUUGUGCACAUAAAAAAAGGAUUAAGCAGAAACGUUGUUCAUACGUUGGCGGUGCUCGUGUCCGUGUUCCUCUGGCUAUCAGUGGGUAAAGAUGGCGGUCUCGUCGUUCGGUUGGUUCGUUGGUUGAGUAGUGAGAGGGGCAACUGUGACGCAACCUAACGUCACGUGAUCAAACCGUGGCUCUGCUCUCGCUGGGCCAGUGUGUGAUCUAACGUUUGUUACGGCAGUUGGUGGAAGAUAACGUCUUGAAGAGUGCAGGAUAGACAAGGAGUACUUUUUUCGACGUUGCUCUCGAUGGCUCACUCGUUGCCCGACGCAACACCUUGAUCUUUUUCUCGGUCGCUAGGUCAGUGGGGGUGAGAAACUGGCUUGGCUCUCUGUGCUACGAUAGUCAGUCUUUUUCUCUCUCCUAUCGGCUUUGCGACAUCUCUCUCGACGUCAAUCGAAGACAGUCUCACAUUUACAAGAAGAUAAUACAUUUCAUAUUUUUUUUUUGUAUAUUUCAAACGAAUGAUAAUUCUAUA